rnacentral:lncRNA from 1 species
AAUGUUCAACAGAGAAGCUAGAAAGGUACCUCCUUGGAAAGGAAGCUACUGGAGGAUGUACUUCAGCAACAUGAGGGAGAAAGAGCAAGACAUGGAUUUCAAAAAGCAGGAACUUCAACACAUGAGGACAAUGAAGGGAAAUCCAGAUUGACAGCUAUGUAGCAGCCGGGAAAGCAACUAGUCCAACUGGAAGCAAGAGGAAGAACAAUGGCUUCAGAAGGAAUGUCUCAGGCAGGGUAUUUUGAUGGUAUUUUCAGGAAGCUAGCAUUCAGCAGUCUUGGAGUUUCCCCCAGUGUAUGACCAAGACCUGCUCCCUGCAGUGGCUUAAGGCUCUCCACAAAGAACAGAGUGUUCCUCAAAGGCCACUUGAAACUCUUCCUCAGAUAUCUCCAUGA